UAAGGUAUACCUUUACUUCCUAGUACUCAGUGUUUUAAUGAAACAUCUCAUGAAUAAUCCUCACAACUCUGAAAACUGUUCUGUGGCUGCUUAUUACCAUUUAAGAACCUGAACCAGGAGUGAAGCUUGGUGAUACAAACCUAUAAUCCCAGCUGCUCUUGAGGAUGAAAAGUUCAAGGCCCUUCUUGGAUAAUAGAAUGACAGCAGCAAGCCGACAAGAAGUCCUCGGCCUCUACCGAAGCAUUUUCAGGCUUGCACGGAAAUGGCAGGCAGCAUCAGGGCAGAUGGAAGACACCAUCAAAGAAAAACAGUACAUACUAAAUGAAGCCAGAACACUGUUCCAGAAAAACAAAAAUCUCACAGACCCAGACUUAAUUAAACAGUGUAUAGACGAAUGUACAGCCAGGAUUGAGAUUGGACUGCAUUACCAGAUUCCUUAUCCCAGACCGAUCCAUCUACCCCCAAUGGGUCUCACCCCACGACGAGGCCGGGGACUUCAAACCCAGGAGAAACUAAGAAAAUUUUCCAAACCACUGUAUCUGAAGUCUCAUGAUGAAGUUUCCUAACAAAGAAGACACUUUACUUUUUAGAAUGCUCUGGCUUCUCCUUGGCAGCCACAAUACCAAGAAGUUGAUCUUGGAGACCCAAGGGUGUGAUCAUGAAGUUGAGGAGACAGACUUUCACUGCCACUUCAGGGAGAUAAUGCGGAUUCCUCAGACGGGUGGUUAUAUAGAAUUUAAAUUCCCUUGAAUAUUCAAUAAUAUUUUCACCCAGUCUCAUGUACUCUACUCCUUGCUGUUUGAAUGUUGCCUUGAGCAAGAUGGGUUCAAUAAAGGCAUCCAGCUCUUCUCCAACAUUUUCCAACAAGACAGGGGUGCCAAACUGCAGGGCAUUUUCCAGAGUCCUCACAUAAUUAGUAUCAGAAAACUUAAUGACAGAUAGCUUGUUUGUUUUUUCCAUAUUCUUCACCCACUUAUUGGCCUGUCCCUGAGGGUCAAUCAUUAAGGGCCAACGUCUGGAAUUGGACACAAUGAUGCCAUUGUCAACAGAGAAGGAAUCAACAGGAAGCCCUGCUAUCUGCCAGGCACGGAUUUUUAUGGGAUCCCCUAAGGUGUUGCUGAGGCUGAAGUCAACAGAGCCUGGGAUGACCUUGUCCUUACAGGAAAUCAACCAUUCCGUUUGGCAUUGGGCCCGAUAAUCCACCGUGAAGGCACCCAGGUAAGCCACAGUACCAGAGGACAACAAAACGUCCCCCGUUAGGUUAUCAUAGCGGAUCCCCAGCAGCCGGGCAGCUUCUGUCCAUCUGUCCUUCUCGCCACCAAGACCACUAAUCAACUUUUCUGCCCUGAUGAGCUUCUGGGAGCAGAUUUCUAUAUUUUCCUCCAGCAUAUUUUUCUUACUGUUCAUCAGUUCAAACUCAUCAUUCAGAGCUUGGAGUCGGUCCUCCACCAGCUUCAGCUCUGCCCGUUUCUGGUUCAGCUUAUGCAUCUGUAUCUCCAGCUUCCCCUCAGCCUCCCUCAGUCGCUCCCGUUUGGGAGCCACUACCUUGGCCACUCGGUCAUACACUUCCAUGGCCCUCACCCACUUGCACAGGCCCUCACAGGCAGAUGAUACAUUUUUAAUGACAGCUGGCUGGAAAUCAGGGUGAUCAAUAAACCUUUCCCGGAUCCGCUUCAUGAUCACCG
rnacentral:lncRNA from 1 species